UCAGAAAGCAAAAUUCUCUUCUCUCAAAUUGUUUUCUUCAGCAGAAGCUUUGGUUGUUCCAGGAUGGUUUCAAAGUCCAUAAGAAUUCAGCCUCAGAUAACAUUUGAUAACUUAUCAUCUUCAUCCUCUUAGUUCAGAUUCGACAAAUCUCUCCCUUAUCAAAACAAUGGUUAUCACUCAUCUCUGAUUAUCAUUUCAUCCAAAAUCGCUGUAUUCAAUAAUCCUCCAAAUGUAUCUAGAUUGAUUUUGAACCGGUCAUCAUCAUCAUCAUCAUCACCCUCAGUUUUAGAUCCAAAAUAUGCUUUUUUUUCAUCGUUGGUGUCAAUAAUGGUAGUUUUAACAAUGCCCCUUCUGAAACCCCCAAGCCUUCAAUGUUUGGAUUCGGUACCGGUUUCGUUUCUUGUGUUAGUUUAGCAUUUGAUCCACUUAGAUCACUUGGCUAUAAAAUUGUCUGCAUUUGGAGAAAGAAUUGAGAGAGUGAAUGUGAUAAGAUUAUAAGAUUGAGAUUUAUUCCUCGGAAUCAAGUUCUUGGAGACUGGAGAUAUUCUACUACGAGUAUUGCAUUCCAUUUUUCUGGUGUUUUCUUUUUGAAAAAUUGCUUGAAUUGAUGGGGAAGAACUAAAAUGUUUGCCAUUUUGUGCCUGAUAAACAGUGAUGCUGAAAUGAAGUGUAAGUAUGAGAAUAUUCUUUUUUUUUAAUCAGCUAAGUAUGAGAAUAUUCUGUAUUUCGGAAUGUGCAGGGGUGAUUUUUUAUUUAUUCUAAGGGAUAAGAAUUUGCCAAACUGCUCUAAUAUCUUUGAGAUGGAGGUUGAAUAUCAAAAUACUGGGUAAAUCUAGAUGGGUUUGAAAAUGAUCAUUCACAGUAUGAUAUUGCAGAUAAUGAUAAUCUUUUAUGCACUAUCUUAUGUAUCGAGGAUGAUCUGUUGAUGGUGAUGAAGUAGAGUCGAAGGUGUAUAUAUACCAGACAUGAUUAUCUCUUAAUAUUUAUCUAAGGAAAAAGAUCUUCACAGAUGUGUGAGAUUAUGCGUUCGAUGGCUGGAAUGAUUUCUAUUCAAGAACAUGAUAGCAUGCUCAUCAUUAUAUCGUAUCUCUUGCUAAUGUUUGAUUAUCCCAAUUGAUUAACAAUUGAUGUUUCAAAUCUUCUACGGUCUCUCUAUUUGUGGAGGGUUCUUGGUUGCUAAUUUGCUAUCUGAAGCCCACAUCAAGGUUUGUUCUUUUGUUUCUAUACAUGCUGUUCUUGUGGAGGGUUAGAGCCUCCACUGUUGGACCAGGCCCAACCAGGUUCUCUCUUUAUUUCUCUUACAUCUUAUUGGUUCAAUAAGAGGGACAUGAAAUUGGUCUCUAUUAUGAACUUUGCGAAGCAUAUAACAUGUUACCACUUAUGACUUACCAGUAAGGAUAAAAUUCUGUUGUUAUGAAGUUGAGAUAGUUGUGCAGUUUAGUCUUUGUGAAAUAGGUUUUCUGGACUUAUAGAUAUGUUUCUUGCUCUUUGCUAUGUAUUAGUAUCUUUUCCUUUUACUGGUUCUUGUAGUUGUAUAUUCAUCAUGAGCCACCAGUAAUGUGGUUGGUUAGGUUUUGUCUAUUCCCAUAAGUCAUGUCUAAGAUGCCUUUCCAAGGAUCCAGUCACCCUUCACUAAUUUGAGCCAGAGUACUAAGAUUCUACAGUUAGAGACUUCUCAGGUGGUGAGUAUGAAUGUACGAUGCCGGAGCAUCCUCCCCUUGCUGACUAGAGUCUACUCGAUUGACUGGAUACCUGGGCUGUUUUGUCUAUUACCAUAUCCAUGUGUUGUUUAGUUGGAAUUUUUCUCCACGUUAUUCGUUAUCCUGUUUGUAUACUCUGUAAGUGCUUUUCUUGUCUAAUGUUGUCUUUUGGGUCUUGGUGCAAAUUGUAAAUUAUACUUGAUGAAGCAACCUAUAUAUGGUGGCUUCUGAUGCUUCCUAGAAGCACCAUAUUCAACAAUGCAGUAUAUUGUGUUCUUUGCGGAUGCGAUUAUUUGCAGUAGGAUAAAACUUCCGAUAAUAGUUUACUGCCAUAUGUCUGGUUCAUAAUCUAAAUCAAGACGAGUCUAAGCUAAUAUAAGGGAGAUUAUUGUUUUAUCUUUCUAAAUUGACUUUUAAAAGAGGUUUGGAUGUUUUUUACUGUCUUUUUUGUAGUCUACCAUGUUUGCAACUAUCAUUCUGAUUCGUCUUUCAUGUGCGUUGUUACUUAAGGAUGGUAGGAUGGUAAGGUUGAGGCCCAAGAAGAGAUGCUGAAGAGGGCAACCUGAUCAGUGGACCUGCUAGCAGAUACAUAUUUCAAAUUUUGUUGCAGAAGUCUGCCACUGCCAUGCUUUGCAUUAUGACAGGCUUUGCAAGGAAGAGUUUCCAAAUUUUAAAGCAGAACCCAGGUCACUUAUGUGUAAUUAUGGACUUAGCUCUCAUCAAAAACUAACUUACAAAGGAAGCACUGACUGGACGUUAGAAAGAUCAAAAGCUUAUUCAGAUUGUAUGAAGAAUUGAAGAUCAUUAACUAAUAAAGAAAAAAAAAUUGUCUACCAAUUGUAGUUGCUUCUAUAUUGCAUGAUGCAAAUUCAACUGAAAACUUUUAAAACAAUAAUAUUACAAUGUCAAUUCUGUAAGGGGGGUUUGACAAGGUUGGAGGAGAUGAAGACAAUCCCAUUGCAGGAAAGGAAAGUUGUCAACUCAUGAAGCUACCACCCAAGAUUAAGACUAAGAUCAAGAUUAGGAUGCUCUUUGCAAUAUAUCUUCCCAGCCUCAUGCUUCUGAGUAAUACUUGUUGCGGCAUCUUCCGCAAUUCUGUCUUCUAUGAUUGUGUCUUCAAUUGUUGAAAACGAUGCUGACAAUGGCGACAAUGCUGCUGCAGAACCGUUCAACCAUAUUACAGACACCUAGAGGAGAAUUGCUAAAGGUGAAAGCCUUUCCACCAGGAGAGAAUACGAUUAUGCUGACAAUAAUAUCUGGAAAUAACCUGCAUAGUUCAGCAGCUUUGCUCUCGAUACCGCCUCUUCUUUUCGAAAAAGUUACUAUUCUCUUCUUUGGGUCAUUGAUCUUUUCUAUUUCUAUCUUCUUUCUCCCCAUGAUUCUUCAAAAAGCUUGCUGUAACUUCCGUGAAAGAAAAUAAUUAUAAAGUGGCAGACGAGAAAGAAUAUUGGCGUA